CGGUGUUCAACUGGCGUGUCCGCGGGACGUCCUGCCGGUGGGCUUAGCCCGCAAGGGCGGCCCAACUUCAAAUCCCAUCGCGGUGCUCUUCACUGAGUGUCGAGGUGGGCCGACACGUUUACUUUGAACAAAUUAGAGUGCUUAAAGCAGGCUAAAACUUCGCCUGAAUACUGUGUGCAUGGAAUAAUGGAAUAGGACCUCGGUUCUAUUUUGUUGGUUUUCGGAACCCCGAGGUAAUGAUUAAUAGGAACGGAUGGGGGCAUUCGUAUUGCGACGUUAGAGGUGAAAUUCUUGGAUCGUCGCAAGACGGACAGAAGCUAAAGCAUUUGCCAAAAACGCUUUCAUUGAUCAAGAACGAAAGUUAGAGGUUCGAAGGCGAUCAGAUACCGCCCUAGUUCUAACCAUAAACGAUGCCAGCUAGCGAUCCGUCGACGUUCCUCCGAUGACUCGACGGGCAGCUUCCGGGAAACCAAAGCUUUUGGGUUCCGGGGGAAGUAUGGUUGCAAAGCUGAAACUUAAAGGAAUUGACGGAAGGGCACCACCAGGAGUGGAGCCUGCGGCUUAAUUUGACUCAACACGGGAAACCUCACCAGGCCCGGACACCGGAAGGAUUGACAGAUUGAGAGCUCUUUCUUGAUUCGGUGGGUGGUGGUGCAUGGCCGUUCUUAGUUGGUGGAGCGAUUUGUCUGGUUAAUUCCGAUAACGAACGAGACUCUAGCCUGCUAACUAGGCGUAUUUUCGACAUCUCAAAGGUCCGUCGUCCCGGCCCUCGGGUCGUGGGCGUGCGCGAUUUUUACUGUCGGCGUACUAUCAAUUCUUCUUAGAGGGACAGGUGGCUUCUAGCCGCACGAGAUUGAGCAAUAACAGGUCUGUGAUG
rnacentral:rRNA from 1 species